rnacentral:rRNA from 1 species
CCUACGGGAGGCAGCAGUAGGGAAUCUUCGGCAAUGGACGCAAGUCUGACCGAGCAACGCCGCGUGAGUGAGGAAGGUCUUCGGAUUGUAAAACUCUGUUGCCAAGGAAGAAGACGAGUAAGAGUAACUGUUUACUCGGUGACGGUACUUGAGAAGAAAGCCCCGGCUAACUACGUGCCAGCAGCCGCGGUAAUACGUAGGGGGCAAGCGUUGUCCGGAAUUAUUGGGCGUAAAGCGCGCGCAGGCGGUCGUUUAAGUCUGAUGUAUAACCAUUCAGCUCAACUGGAUGUGGCAUUGGAAACUGGGCGACUGGAGUGUAGGAGAGGAAAGUGGAAUUCCACGUGUAGCGGUGAAAUGCGUAGAGAUGUGGAGGAACACCAGUGGCGAAGGCGACUUUCUGGCCUAUAACUGACGCUGAGGCGCGAAAGCGUGGGGAGCAAACAGGAUUAGAUACCCCAGUAGUC